ACUGGUUCAGUAGGACUUCUUCAUGUUUGGUUCUCUUUCCAGUUCUUGGGCAGAAAAUUACUAACCUGAAAAUUCAGUCAGGUUUUAAUUUCCAUUGGGAAAUCCAAGUCUUAUGCAAAGGUCCAUUGGACCAUUGAUAGCACAGAGUAAGGCCAUGGCAUAACAUACAAAAAAAUCUUCCAGGCCGGUGUUACAAUCUUUUCUUCUGCAUUAUUCAACCUUCUUAGACAACCUUACCUCCAACGUCAUGUCAGGUCAUCAACAAGUUUCCUGAAAACAUUGCACAUGGGCAGUCUUCUUGUCUUGUUCAAUACUAUUCAGUUAUGAAGCUCCUUCAAUAUUGCUUUUAUUUACGGAAUUAAUUGUCGGUUUUUAUCAUGUUCUAUUGAGCGUGGUCGACAGUGCUAUCAAAGAAACAGCGUAAAGGUUCCGAGAGACGAUUCUUGCUCUUGGGGGUGGAAAAGCUCCACUACAGGUUUUCAUUGAAUUUCGAGGACGCGAGCCUUCACCUGACGCAUUACUCGGGCAUAACGGCCUUUUGCCAGAUGCAGUCGAUGGGGGUUUGUUGGACCACUUAGGGGUUUUGAUGGUCCUCUUGGUUUCAACGGUGAUGGUUUGUCGAUGGUUAAGAUUGUCGAUUUGGUUUCGCCGGUGAUGGUUUGUCGAUGGUUAAGAUUGUCGAUCUGUAGUGAAUAACUUGACUCAUGUACAGGCAAGUUUUUUUAGCGUGAUUGGCGUGAUGGUUUAGGUGACUUGACCUUCUUCUCAGGACUUAUGUAUCUUAUUGUGUUUUGUAAGGAUGCUUUAUUAAGAUGUAAAUAAUGAUGCUUGCAUAUA